GAACGCACCUUGCGCCCUUUGGCUAUUCCGAAGGGCAUGCCUGUUUGAGUAUCAUGAACACCUCAACUCUUCGUGGCUUGCCAUGAUGAGCUUGGACUAUGGGGGUCUUGCUGGCCUGCGGUCGGCUCCUCUCAAAUGAAUCAGCUUGCCAGUGUUUGGUGGCGUCACAGGUGUGAUAACUAUCUAUGCUUGUGGCUUUCCACCAGGUAACCUUCAGCGAUGGAGGUUCACUGGGGCUCAUAAACAUCUCUCCUCAGUGAGGACAGCUCUUUGAACGUUUGAUCUCAAAUCAGGUAGGACUACCCGCUGAACUUAAG
rnacentral:misc_RNA from 1 species